CUUGUGUAAAUUUAAAUCAUUUUGUGAAACUUCUAAGCAAUAUUACAUUAGAUUUGUAAAAUUACCGAAGAAAGUUGCAAAAUCACAUUCAUAUUAUAAAAAUACAUAAUAUUUGUAAUUGUUUUUACUAUUAUAAUGUAAAAUUACAAGUUUUUUGUAAAUUUAUACCUUAAUUCUUAAAUUUACUUUGGCUAUGUAAACCGCGGCCAAUGAGAGUGCGUGUUUACGCGUCCCCCAGCGAUUCCGAAAUUUUCAACGUAAAUGACGACUAAAAUAUUAUUUUUGACUUACGACAGGUAAUAAAGAAUUUUGUGCUAGUCCUUUUGUUUAUCUUUACUGUUUCUUCGUGCCUAUAAGUAUCAGGUAAGUUAAAUAUUUACAUUAAUACCUGUUAACAAUGAUUACUUGUCAAAUUGCCUGACUGGUCAAUUUGCCAAUUUCCAUAUAAUCUGUGCGUGGUCCUUUAUGAAAAUGUCUUAUUACCUAUUAGUAUGCAUUUAGUAUAGAUUUUCAGCAAGUAAAGGACAUUACUGAUGACUCUUCUCUUGAGCUUGGUAUGGACCACGGAACUGUAUUAUGUGGUGGCUCUAACAAUACUAUAAAAAUAUAUCUAGAACAAGAACCUGUUACGGAAAAAUGUGACUCAUUUGGAGGAGCAUUGCAUUGCUUAAUUGCUCUUUAAUUUGGAAUAUCCCAAAGAAGAAAUGCAAUGUCCUGCAUUUUGGAGUUCCUUCAAAGAUAUUUUAAAAAAAUACACCCCGAAGCAGGAACCAAAUCGAAAAAACAAAAUCUUUUGAAAAGAAAGGUUAUUUCAUAUUAACCGAAGUUCUGAAUAAUAAAUUAUUAUUUUAUUAAAUAAUUAUUUAUAAAUUAUUAUAUUAUUUCUUUUUUUGAGUCCAUAAAUGUUAAAUGAAUUAGUUCCAACCUUAAAGGGUUUUUUUGUGAGAUUUAGCUUGUAAGUAGGUACCUAUAUUAACAUAUUUGA
rnacentral:lncRNA from 1 species